UACGGAGGAUCCAAGCGUUAUCCGGAUUUAUUGGGUUUAAAGGGUGCGUAGGCGGCUUAUUAAGUCAGUGGUGAAAGCCUGGAGCUUAACUCCAGAACUGCCAUUGAUACUGAUGAGCUUGAGUACAGUUGAGGUGGGCGGAAUGUGUCAUGUAGCGGUGAAAUGCUUAGAUAUGACACAGAACACCGAUUGCGAAGGCAGCUCGCUAAACUGUAACUGACGCUGAGGCACGAAAGCGUGGGUAGCAAACAGG
rnacentral:rRNA from 1 species